CAAUAGUGUAUACUAAAGUUGCUGCAGUUAAAAAGCUCGUAGUUGGAGUUCGGUUAGUAGGGAAUCGGUCUACUCUAUCAAAAGAGUACGAACUGUAUCCCUAUUUCCUUCUUUUCAUAAUAGUCAAUUUUAAUUUGAUCUAUUUUGAAUAUUUUACCUUGAGAAAAUUAGAGUGUUCAAAUCAGGCGUAACCAAGCCUUUGAAUAUAUUAGCAUGGGAUAAUGAAAUAGGACUUCUUAGCCUUAUUUUCGUUGGUUUUUAAACAAGAUUUUUAUAUCUUUUGAGGCAGAAGUAAUGAUUAAAAGGGAUAGUUGGGGUCAUUGGUAUUUAAUAGUCAGAGGUGAAAUUCUAAGAUUUAUUAAAGACAAACUACUGCGAAAGCAUUUGACAAGGAUGUUUUCAUUAA
rnacentral:rRNA from 1 species